UACGUAGGCAGCAAGCGUUGUUCGGAAUUACUGGGCGUAAAGGGUGCGUAGGCGGCGCGGUAAGUCGGGUGUGAAAUCUCGGAGCUUAACUCCGAAACUGCAUUCGAUACUGCCGUGCUUGAGGACUGGAGAGGAGACUGGAAUUUACGGUGUAGCGGUGAAAUGCGUAGAUAUCGUAAGGAAGACCAGUGGCGAAGGCGGGUCUCUGGACAGUUCCUGACGCUGAGGCACGAAGGCCAGGGGAGCAAACGGG
rnacentral:rRNA from 1 species